UUUUCGGUCUGGCCAGCAGGUGGCAUGAGCGGACUUCUGUGAACACCUGCUGCCAAUCUGUGAUUAGUAGCCUCAGUAUUUAAGGACUCCUCCGCCGUGCACCUGUUGUCGGAGUGUUGUUUAUUGCAUUGCUGUUUCUCUGCUCAUUGACUAGUUGGCUUUUGACCUCGUCGUGUUUCGCUGUGUAUUCUCGGCACCCAUGAUGUAGUAAGUAUUGGUUUUGUUUUGUGAUUGGGCUUUCUUGCGUGUAUUUGAGAUAUAUUGUUUUUUGUUUGUAUUCUCGGUCUUUAUUUUUCUUUUUGUAAUUCAUUUUAUUUACCCUGUGGUCCUUGUUUUGACCAGAGCUUUAUGUUCCCUCGUUAUCGGUGCGAUUUGUACAAUAUAUUUUUAUACGGUGACCUUGUUUUCGUCUACGAUUUAGAUUCCAAACCAAACUCGGCUUGUCCGAGACCUAACAGAAUACUCCGACCACUAUGGAUCCUGUAGAAAAUGAACAAGAUCAUGACUGCCUUGAGCAGCCAGGGGCAACUAGUGGGCCAGCAAAGACAAGAGCUCGCGCAGCUCCAGGAGGCAGUCACCAUGCUGGCUCUGCAGCUUGAAAUUUUGAGUUCCCGGAUGGAACAAAUGAGCCGCCGAGAAACGCCACCGUCAAGAUCCCCUACGGUUACAACCGAGAUACCAUCUUUCCCGAUCAUAGGGCGGGAGCCUAAUUUCCCACACCCCCCUCGUUAUGGUGGUGAACCGGGACUCUGCAAACAAUUUUUGCACCAGUGCUCUUUAAUUUUCGAUCAGCAACCUUCUGCUUACGAGACGGAUAGCACCAAGGCGGCGUCCUGGGCAGUGGAAAUAAGCAAUGCACAACCCGGGCUUCGGUCUUCCUUCCCUUCACAGAGUUUCGUUGCGUGUUCCAGCAUGCAGCAAGGGUGGUCGAAGGACGGCUAUUAGCGAUACGGCAAGGUAGACAAUCCGUUGCCGAAUAUUCCAUUUCAUUUCGUAUUCUGGCAGCCCGUACUGGUUACGGGGACCGCGCUCUGUGUGGGUUGUUUCGCCGCGGGUUGAAUGCAUCUUUGAAGGACGAACUGGCAACCCGCGAUGAUAGCACCAGUUUGGAGGAACUCAUUAAUCUGGCCCUGGCUGUGGACAACCGCAUGCGGGAGCGCGAGCGGGAAUGCGGGGACGAAUGGGGAGAUGCCUGUUUUCAUUCCCGACGUGCGGGUAGACGGCCGGCUGACCGCGAGUCCUGGCGACCGUCCGGACCCGAGCACCACCCCUGUUCCGGUCCAGCUGGCGCGGAGGAGGAGCCCAUGCAGCUGGGAGGCGGACGUUUGGGACCUGAGGAGAGACGGCGUCGGAUUCGGGACCAGGCCUGCUGCUACUGCGGCCAACCAGGACAUCGAGUUGCCGAAUGUUCCGUGACACCGGCCCGCCCGUCCAGGCGCCUCGAGAACUAGGUGGAUGCUUUGGAAUCAGGGGUCGAGGCGGUAUUAUCGCAGCGAUCGCCAGUCGACCAAAAACUCCACCCUUGCGCCUUCUUCUCUCGUCGUCUCAGUCCAGCCAAAGCCAACUACGACGUGGAAAACCGUGAACUGCUAGCAGUCGUUUUGGCACAACAAGAAUGGCGACAUUGGCUCGAAGGGACUGAAGAGCCGUUCACGUUUAUACCGAUCACAAGAACCUCGCAUACAUCAGCUCUGCCAAGAGACUAAACUCACGCCAAGCACGGUGGGCGCUUCUCUUUACUCGUUUCAAUUUGACACUUACCUACUGCACUGGCUCCAAGAACAUUCGACCUGAUGCUCUCUCCCGUAUCCAUGACCCCGCGGAGAGGAGCAACGAACCCCAGAGUAUUCUUCCCGACCAUUGUAUUGUGGGGGCCCUGAGGUGGGCCAUCGAACGUAGCGUCCAGGAGGCCCAGAACGGAAUCCAAGUCCCUGCGGGCUGUCCUGUAGGGAGGCUUUUUGUACCCCCACCUCUGCGCGCGGAGGUGUUACAGUGGGGGCACACAUCUAAGGGGGCGUGCCAUCCAGUGGUGAACCGGACCUUGGAGCUCGUCUCACAGCAGUUUUGGUGGCCGGAGCUACGGAAUGAUACACUGGACUAUAUCAAGGCCAGCUCCACCUGCUCUUGCAGUAAGGCAUCCCACCAACCACCGGCUGAGUUGCUGCAGCCUUUGCCUGUUCCGUCUCGACCAUGGUCCCACAUUUCCAUGGAUUUUGUCACAGGCCUGUCUCCUUCCCGGGGCAAGUCAGUCAUACUCACCGUGGUUGAUCGCUUCUCUAAAUCUGUUCAUUUUGUUGCCUUGUCCAAGCUGCCCUCUGUCCUGGAGACCGCCGACCUUCUCGUCAAACACGUCUUCCGUCUUCAUGGGAUUCCGGUAGACAUCGUGUCGAACCGGGGUCCUCAAUUCAUUUCCAGACUGUGGAAACGUUUCUGUCAUGCCAUGGGGGCCACUGGUAGUCUGUCCUCUGGUUACCUCCCGCAGUCCAACGGCCAAACGGAACGCAUGAACCAGGACUUGGAGGCAGCUCUGCGCUGUGUUUGUCUCCUUCGCCCCUCCUCGUGGUCGACUCACCUGCCUAGGGUGGAGUACACCCACAACACCCUCGUAUCAUCGGCCACCGGUCGGUCUCCUUUCAUGUCAGCUUAUGGUUAUCAACCUCCUCCGUUUCCUUCCCAGGAGGGUCAGGUGGAAGUCACGUCCACAAAGCUCCACCUGUGACGGGCCCAUCGGUUAUGGAGGGAGACCAGGGCAGCGCUAUCACACACUGCUAUGAGGAACCGGCAGAUCGCUGACCGCCGCCGACGCCCAGCACCGAGCUAUCAGGUUGGGCAGAAAGUGUGGCUGUCGACGAAGGAUCUGCAAAAAGCUGGUACUUCUCGCAAGUUGGGGCCUCGCUUCACUGGACCGUUCGUGGUGGAAUCGGUCAUCAGCCCCGUCUCCGUCAAGCUGCGACUGUUGCCCACCAUGAAGGUGCACCCCGUCUUCCACGUUUCCCCGUUGAAGCCAGUGGCCACCAGUCCCCUGGCUCCUCCUCCCACAUCGCUUCUUGUUGUGACCAGCGCUUUAUGUUCCCUCAUUAUCGGUGCGAUUUGUACAUUAAAAUAUAUUUUUAUACGGAGACCUUGUUUUCGUCUACGAUUUAGGAUCCAAACCAAACUCGCCUUGUCCGAGACCUAACAAAUACUCUCUGCACACUCUCAGAGGGCUCCACUGCCAACUGCUGUUGUGAAUGUGCAAUUACACUUUAUUUGAUUCUCUUCGGCAAAAAAAGCAUGUUUUUUGUUUUAAGUGCAAUAGUCUUGGUUUAACUCAGCAAAAAGCAUGUUUUUUGCUGAAGAAAAGCAUUUAUAUCAUGAUUUGCAGGUUUCAAUGCUAUUUUGCACAGAAUAAACAAUAAAA